rnacentral:rRNA from 1 species
UCAGCAUCUGAAAUGAAGUAGGACCACCCGCUGAACUUAAGCAUAUCAUUAAGCGGAGGAAAAGAAACUAACAAGGAUUCCCCUAGUACGGGCGACGGAAGCGGGAAAAGCCCACGCUGGUAAUCUGCGGGCGUUAGCUCGUCGAAUUGUAAUCUGAAGAUGGUUGGUCUAACGGAGUCGGGCGACGAAGUGUGCACGAGCGCGCCGCCAAAGAGGGUGAGAGCCCCGUAAGUUGCCAGACUCUACAAAGGCCGGUCGUCGAAGAGUCGUGUACUUUGAUACUAGUGCACCAAGCGGGAGAUAAACUUCUUCUAAGGCUAAAUAUAAGUAGGAAACCGAUAGCGAACAAGUACUGUGAAGGAAAGAUGAAAAGCACUUUGGAAAGAAAGUUAAAAGACUUGAAAUCGUUGAGGCGGACCCGGUAGAAAUGUAUUCUAGCGAAACUCCCUGGGAAGCCUGUACGCGGGUGUCUUGGGAGUUAGCCGAGGCAAGAUGGAGUCGCGCGAUGCUAGAGGCCGUGCAGGAGGUUCUUCGGAAAAGCCUGUGCAGGUUGAGUGUCGGGCGGC